AUUGAACGCUGGCGGCAGGCCUAACACAUGCAAGUCGAACGGAGUGGCGGACGGGUGAGUAAUGUCUGGGAAACUGCCCGAUGGAGGGGGAUAACUACUGGAAACGGUAGCUAAUACCGCAUACUAUCAGAUGAGCCUAGGUCGGAUUAGCUAGGUGGUGGGGUAAAGGCCUACCAAGGCGACGAUCCGUAACUGGUCGGCGAGGAUGAUCAGUCACACUGGGACUGAGACACGGCACAGAUGCCUACGGGAGGCAGCAGUGGGGAAUAUUGGACAAGUGUCGAAAGCCUGAUCCAGCCAUGCCGCGGGUGUGAAGAAGGUCUUCGGUUUGUAAAGCCCUUUAAGUUGGGAGGCGUUACCAACAGAAUAAGCACCGGCUAACUACGUGCCAGCCGCCGCGGUAAUAC
rnacentral:rRNA from 1 species